rnacentral:lncRNA from 1 species
UUCUGACGAGUUUAUUGGUUGCAAUAACAUUUUUUUAUGUGUCUUUGUUAAGAAAUAUCUUUUGCUAAGAUCGGCCACACUUUGAUAGAGUGAGUUAAGACAGCCAACUUUGACAGGUCCCAUGUUUGAAUCCUUCUGAAGAAGUCUUGCAAUGGUUCCUAAUGGUAAUGUUAAGAAGCUACAUAGAACAUCAACAAAGUCUUUUCCUGCUUCAGCAAAUACAACUUUGUCUGUUUCUGUGUCUACGAGAAGCUUCAACAACACUGGCAACAACACUGGCUCAUCUGUUUUGUCAUUAGCCAUGGAAGAGAGAAGUUGGCUAUGAAGAAGUUGGGAGUUUGAAAUUUAAAACGCUGAUAAAAAUGUUUCUGUUGACAGUUCCAAGCAAUGCUGAUACGAUGGGUGGCACAAUGGAUUUUAACAACGUUUUUAAUGUCAAUUCUUGUGCAAUUGGUAUUUGAGUUCAUGGAAAAAUAAAAUGAUAGUGAUCACUUAUGGGGUAGUGAAGUUAUACCCACGUUUUAAUUGUGUCAACUAAUACGGUAAAGAUACUUGGUGCUUGCCUUAAAUUGCAUUUGAAAUACCAUUAUUUAUUUAUUUUUGACUCAAUGUUGGUAGUGAGGGUACUUGUGCAUUUAACAUUUCCCCAUUCAGAUAAAUAGUGACUUUUUUUAAGGCAAAUAUGAAUAUAAAUAAAUAAAGGUGUCAAAAAGGAUUACAAGUGGGCACAAGUUAUAUCUAAAAAUUGGUGAAAUUUUGAGUUAUGAGAGUGUGCUCUUCUCGCCACAACAAAAUUGCAUCAUAGCAAGCAGUUUAUGUCAAGUGUGAAACACCUCGCAAAAUAAGUGAGGUUGUCAGGAGUUUAAUGUCUCGCAAUGCAUGUUUAGUUUUGAAAAUAUUGAUGCAAUAUUAUCAAGUGUUAACUCCUCGAAAUGAUGUAAUUUAUCUCGAGUUACUGUCAUUUGCAUUUAAGUUUCAUGUGAGUUUACAUUUGAAUUUGGAUGAAUAUAUAAACCCAAAGUGAUCUGUAUUUGUAACAAAAUUUUGCAUUUUUUGAGCAAGUUAAAAGUUAGUUACUAUUUCAUUCUUUUUUUAUAUAUGUAACUGCUUUUUAUCUUCUUCAUCUUCUUGUGCGUUGUUAAUGGAGGUUCAUUGUUGAACUCCAAUAAUUGGUAUCUAGAGCUCCAUUUCGAUUCAUAGGGAAACACUAGUGUAGCGAGGUAUGUGAUUGAUUUCGUUUCAGAAAUCCGUGUUGAAUUGAAGUUUGAAAUCAGAGAGAAUUACAGAUCAUGAUUCUCAGGGUUUGGGAAACACGAGUAUUGCUGAGAACUGAGCGAUUUGCACAAGAACAAAGAUGAACGACGAAAACAGUAGUCUGAACCCAAAGUUUCCAGUAUUCAACAGAAAGAACUGGAAUCGAUGGUCGAUUAAGAUGUUUGUGUUGUUUAGAGCUCAAGAUGUUCUUGAUCUCGUCAAUGACGAUUAUACGCCGAUUGUUGAAAAUGCAACAUACGAACAAAAAAACAUGCGACGUGAAACGAGGAAGAAGGAUCAAAAGACGUUGUUCUAUAUCCAUCAGAGUGUGGAUACGAAGGUGUUUGUAAAAAUUCACUGUAGACUUUUACUCCACAUGUGAAAGAACACUUCAAAGUUGGUUAGUAUUGCCAUGUUAUCGCCAGGAGCUCUAACACAGUUUUAUUAACAAUCGGUAUGAAAGCAUACAAGUUGUAAGUGGAGGUAAUCAAAGUCAAAAACUACUUAUAAAUGAUUUUCAAAACACAUUGAAAGGUAAUAGGGUUGUAAAUUCCAAGAGAUAGAAUAAGAGACAAAUUUAAGGUUCCUUUCUUAUCGAAACUUACCUCUCGUCUGUCACCACCAUCACCGUCGUCGAAAUCACCAUGGAUUCACAGGUUUCACUAUAUCUCCAUUUCCUGUUUUAUUGUCUUCUAUUACAAUUGAUAAUAAGAAAAAUGUAUUUUAUCACGCAAAGUGUCAUCACUCUUUAAUUUAAUUAACACAUGACAUUCAGUACAAUGCAAUGGACUUGCUCCAAGCACAAGUUUUUGCAUAUUCAAGUGUUUUUCUUGCUUUUAAUCCUACCAUCUAAAUGUUUUUUCAUUAUAAACUUGAGUUUAGGAAUAAAAACUCUUUUAUUAGUAUUUUGUCAAAAAAAGUGAGUACAUAACUAGCAUAAUAAACCAUGCAGAGGGAGCUCACUUAAUCAUCUACAAGAAAUGAAUACCAUAUCUAAAGUGUAGAAAGUCACACACCUUCUUCAAAUGGACAGCAAGAUGAAUCUUUGCCAAAAUAAAGAAUUAGCACAUCCGCGAUACACCAUCAUAACACUUCCUAAUUUUUAUGUAACCAAUCCUCCUGUUAGGCGCUGCACACUACAAUAAGUUAGCUGACAUGUUCUUCAAGUUGACGCCAAAAGCAAACAACAAUGUUCAGCAUUCAAGCACAAAAUCAUAGAUGAAUGUACUUUGCACAAUGGUCUAUA